rnacentral:rRNA from 1 species
UACGUAGGGGGCUAGCGUUGUCCGGAUUUAUUGGGCGUAAAGCGCGUGUAGGCGGCCAGAUAGGUCUGCUGUGAAAACUCGAGGCUCAACCUCGAGCUGUCGGCGGAAACCAUUUGGCUAGAGUCCGGAAGAGGAGAGUGGAAUUCCCGGUGUAGCGGUGAAAUGCGUAGAGAUCGGGAAGAACAUCGGUGGCGAAAGCGCUCUGCUGGACUGCAACUGACACUCAGGGACGAAAGCUAGGGGAGCGAAUGGG